AUUUCUAAAAAUACUUACAUUAUAUGCAUCCUGAAAUUGGAAAUCUGCUAAUGUCUUGGUAGUCUAACUGGUUAGGGUAUUGGGAUGGUAAUCCAAAGAUCUUGAUUCAAUUCCAGACCAAGUAUGUAAAUUCAUCAUGAUGAUAUGUAAAUUUGUCAAUAUUCAUUGUGCUGUUAUGUAAAUCAUCUGAAUUUCUAGAUCAUUCCUAGAGCAUGAUUUCAUAUAUAUAUAAAAGCCAUCUGCUCAUCAGUACUAAUAGAAUUUGUCACCUUUUCUAUCAGAAUUUUCAUAUCCUCGUUCACUGUCUUCUGUGGAUCCUGACAGACAAUGACUAUAGGCAUAAGCCUACUGUGGUUAUGUGGUUAUCACGUAGGUAUGCACGGCAAAGUGAGAGUCACGCCAACACAACAGAUGAGACAGCAACAGUUUUAUUAACCAAGAAUCUUUAUUGAGAGAGAGAAAUAUUGUUAAAUUUCAUGGAGGAUAAAUAC
rnacentral:lncRNA from 1 species